rnacentral:rRNA from 1 species
GAUGAACGCUGGCGGCGUGCCUAAUACAUGCAAGUCGAGCGGACGGACGAGACGCUUGCGUUUCUGAUGUUAGCGGCGGACGGGUGAGUAACACGUGGAUAACCUACCUAUAAGACUGGGAUAACUUCGGGAAACCGGAGCUAAUACCGGAGAAUAUUUUGAACCGCAGGGUUCAAAAGAGAAAGACGGUCUUGCUGUCACGUAUAGAUGGAUCCGCGCUGCAUUAGCUAGUUGGUAAGGUAACGGCUUACCAAGGCAACGAUGCAUGGCCGAACUGAGAGGGUGAUAGGCCACACUGGAACGGAGCCACGGUCCAGACUCCUACGGGAGGCAGCAGUAGGGAAUCUUACGCAAUGGGCGAAAGCCUGACGCAGCAACGCCGCGCGAGUGAUGAAGGCCUUCGGAGCGUAAAACUCUGUUAUUAGGGAAGAACCUCUGUGUAAGUAAAUGUGGACAUCGUGACGGUACCUAAUAAGAAAGCCCCGGCUAACUACGUG